rnacentral:lncRNA from 1 species
AUUAGCAAUGUGCAUAGGAGGACUUAAUUCCAAAAAUAUAUGUUUUUCUGCUCUAGGAAGAUAUAUUCCUAGUAAUGUUCCUUAAAACUCUUUUUUGUUGCUUCGGGUUAAUGCAACUUGAAGCUGAACCCUUGUUGGGUAAAUCUAAUUGUUUACAUUGGGGGGAAAAAAAAGAAUAUGAAAAUGAUUUGCCAUCUAUUUUCCAACCUAUGGUUUUCCUGGCCGGUGGGGAGAACAUCAGGGUGAUAACUUCUUGGCAUCUAUUUUUUGUUGUUGGGUUUAAUCAAUGCCAUUUAUUUUAAAGCUAAAUAUUCCUAAUUUUGAAAAAUUUAUCAUGUAGUAAAACACUUCAGUUAGAUUUAGACCAAUAGACCCAAUACCAGUAAAAGCCCACAGACUUUCACUGUUUCCUACUUGGGAAGACUUUUCAACCCCUCAAUCCCUAAUAAGUGCUAUCUCAGCCUUCCAAAGGAGUUAAGACAUUGAAUAGAGGCACGUGGCAUGGAGCCUAGCACCAAGCAGGUAUGGAAUAAAGGAGCAUUAUCUCCCCUGAACAAAUGAUCUGUCCUGGAGACAGUGCCACAUGCGGAAUGUUGUUCAGCAAGGGAGUAGGGGAAGAUCAGGUAGGUUUAGAGAGACAGUAAGGCCUGGGGUGGGCCACCAGGCAGAGCCAGAAAUUUUGAUGAAGGUCCAGGACUUAGAAACAACUCCAUACAGGUCUGAAGUGCUCCUUUAGGUUUGGGUUUCAAGAACUUUAUUCAUUUUUAAUUUAAUCACAGCCAUAAUAACAAUUUUCAUUUAAAAAAAAUUUAAAAGUCUAUAGCAGUUGGCAUUAGGCUUUUAAUGGCAUUUUAACAUCUUUAGAAACAGUGGAGAAAUAAAC